UCCCUCCCAACCCAAUCCCGCUUCCAAUUUCAACUCCCCCCAAAAAUUUCUUCACUAGUAUUCCUCUAUACCAUUUUCUUCUCUAGAUUAAUCCUAAAUUGAUUUCCUCUCCAACCUUCAUCUCUCAACUGAAUCUUCACUUCCAUAGCAACAACGAUAACAAUCUCCUCUGUUCUUUGUUAAUCCACUCACUCUCUUCACACACCUCUUCUAUAUUCUUCAUCUCAAAACCCUAGCUCCAGAUCCACAACAACAAAGUAAGUAUGUCGCAAACUCUGACCCAAACAACCGCCCCAAACCCGACCUGUUACCUUCCGGUUCAGAUUCAACCGGUUCAGCUGCAACACCUCCAUCCUUAUGGGCCAAACCCUAGGUCGAACCAGAAACUUCUUGUUCACUUUACACUGUACAACUCAUUUUUUCCGAUGAGAUUAUUCAGCAGAGGCUCUUCCACUGCCACCGCCGUAGCCUUUGGUCCGGCGAGACCUAUCCUUCUUGUGAACUGUGACGAGCAAGGAAAGCUCCAGAUGGAUCAGAAGUGGUUUCUGUUCUUUGACUCAUAAAACAAUGGUAGGUGGUUCUCGAUCUCAAGUCAACAAGUCGCCUAAGACUCGUUUUGCUUCUACAUCCUCUCGUAACUUUCACAAAACAUCUGUCAAAGAAGGAAGAAACUAUGCCUGGCAACAUUGGGUGAAUGGGGUAGAAACAGAAGAAACUGAAAAUGGUAAUAAUGAGGUAUCUCGUCCCUAAUGAGGCUAAUGAUCAGCCGAAGGAACUACUAUACUAGAAACAAGCUUCAAAAAGGCUAUUGCAGAAUCGGAAUACGGGUACUGAUGCUUGUCCUCUUGUAACUAGGCCUGGGCAUAUUCGGUUUGAAUCUCUUCAUGUAGGUAUAUAGGGGUGCUAAACGGGUCGUGUUCGCGGGUUCAAUCCGACCCGAACCCGAAAAUUUUAGACCGACGCGAACCCGAAAAUUGUGCCGUACAUAUGAACCCGAACCCGGCUUGAAUAUUCGCAUACUGACCGAACCCGACCCAUUCAACCCGAUUUUUUUUUUUAAUUUUUUCAGCAAAUUAAUAUAUUAAAAUUAACACUACAACAAAAAGAAAAUGCAAAUUUAUAUAAUAAAAUUACAUUAAAAUCGUAAAAAUUUAUGUCAACUUCCAUUUUUAAGUUAUAUUUAUAGCAUAAAAUACACACCCAAUUUAAUUUAUGACAUAAAACAUAUUUUUAAAAAUAUAAUAAUAUAAUAGAAAUGGGUUAAACGGGUCAACUUGCCACCCCGACUGGGUUGACCUGAACCUGACGCGUUUAGCUAAACGGGUUCGUGGGUUCAACCUGAAACUUGCCCGAACCCAUAUAUACUAAACCCAAACCCAUGAAUUUCGUGUUAGGUUUGUAUCAUGUUUUCGGAUCGUGUCAGAAAUUCACACCCAUAAAGAUAUAUGCUAAAUAUUUUACAUCUCUUGAUGUGGGUCAUGUUCUUCUCAUUGUGGCUUCCUUCGUAUUGCUCCCUUUUCACCCGUACUCGCUAGUGGUGGGGAUGCUUGUGGUGCUAAUGUUCAUCCCAAUUUAUGAGCACAUUAUAUGGGGCCUUGCUAUAGCUAGGUUGAUUUUCUGACUUAAUAAAGUGAUAUUUCAAAUUUAAAGUGGAACUUUUUGAAUCAAAACUUUAGUUAAAAGUGGUUUAGAUGUAAAAAAGUUGAUGCAUGUGAUUUAACUUGUUGUAUAAAGUAGGUACACUAUUAGGUGGUAUACUUUACAUACAUAAUAAAGAUGGUUUUGAGUAGAGGUUUAGUGGUUUGAAUUGAUGAACCCAACACGACUAGUAAGCUGACACGUUGUAAACAGACCGUAAACAGAUUGAACAUAUACAAUAUUCUUUUAUUUUAUGAGUUUAUUUUUAAUGGGUUGACGUGUCAACUUGUUUGAUUAAAUAGGUUAUAUAACUCAGCUUGUUUCAUUUCACAGUUUAAAUGGGUCAGCCUAUUUCAUUCUGCAGUUUAAAUGGGCCAUCCUGUUUCAUUUUACAGUUUACACGGGUCUUUUCGAACUAUUAACGAACCGAUCUCGAUUAGCUCUUGAGCGGCCUGACUCUUGUUUACACCCCUAGUAUGGAAGGAUGAAACUGAUUAAUAUUUGCAUUGUUUUGUUCAACCUGCAGGACCUGUUAGUGGCAGUUCUAUAAAUGGAGCUAUUUGAAGCCAAAAUCGGGAAGCUUGUUGAACUCGGGUUCAGUAGAGAUGCAGUUAUACAAGCUUUGAAGCUUUUUGAUGGUAAUGAAGAACAAGCAGCUGGAUAUCUUCUACCUCUGGAAAAGCGUGUGAAUCUGCUGUUUUUGUUUUGGAUCCUUGCCACCAUUGGCCCAACUUUUGAUUCUGUGCCUGAAUUGACAAACAUUUGUUUAUCCUACAAGUUGUUCCAAAAUUUGAUUUGGAUAUUAACUAAGGUGAUGUGGAAGGCGGGUGUUCCAGCUAUGGACAGAUCAAGCAUAUAUAUGUUGAUAAGUAUGUGUGUAAGUUCUUUAUCUCAGUCUACUAGGAUGAACAUGUGUUAGAUGUGCAAAUUACCAUAACAUGGGGUUUACAAGUAACAUGAAUAAAACAAUUGGAGGAUCAUACAACAUCAGAACUGGCCACAAGUUACAAGUUUGCUCCCCACCACAACAGCAGUAAUGUGGCCACGAACCCAUGGAUGCAAAUUUACAGCACUUUUAGGUCUAAAACAAUGAGUAUGCGGACUUGAAGAAAACAGUCUGGAAGUAGUUCUUAGUUUAUGUGUAAAGUGAUUUUCCUUUGCAAGUUUUGUAGAUAGGUUAGUGUUGGUAUUUAAAUUGAAUACUUAUGUAUGGAUUUUGGGAUAUUAUUAUUAAUAGCAUUUGGUUUUUAGUUUUCUCA